CUGCUUAUGGAUGAGUGUGCGUCCUAUUAGUUAGUUGGUGAGGUAACGGCUCACCAAGACGAUGAUAGGUAGGGGGCGUGAGAGCGUGGACCCCCACACGGGUACUGAGACACGGACCCG
rnacentral:rRNA from 1 species